rnacentral:rRNA from 1 species
UAGAGUUUGAUUAUGGCUCAGGAUGAACGCUGGCGGUAUGCUUAACACAUGCAAGUCGAACGGAGUUCUUCGGAACUUAGUGGCGGACGGGUGAGUAACGCGUGAGAAUCUGGCAAAAGGUUCGGGACAACAGUUGGAAACGACUGCUAAUACCGGAUGUGCCUGUGGGUGGAAGAUUAAUCGCCUUUUGAUGAGCUCGCGUCUGAUUAGCUAGUAGGUGUGGUAAGAGCGCACCUAGGCGACGAUCAGUAGCUGGUCUGAGAGGAUGACCAGCCACACUGGGACUGAGACACGGCCCAGACUCCUACGGGAGGCAGCAGUGGGGAAUUUUCCGCAAUGGGCGAAAGCCUGACGGAGCAAUACCGCGUGAGGGAGGAAGGCUCUUGGGUUGUAAACCUCUUUUCUCAGGGAAUAAGAAAGUGAAGGUACCUGAGGAAUCAGCACCGGCUAACUCCGUGCCAGCGGCCGCGGUAAU